rnacentral:rRNA from 1 species
UACGUAGGGUCCGAGCGUUGUCCGGAAUUACUGGGCGUAAAGAGCUCGUAGGCGGUCUGUCACGUCGGAUGUGAAAAUCCAGGGCUUAACCCUGGACCUGCAUUCGAUACGGGCAGACUAGAGUUCGGUAGGGGAGACUGGAAUUCCUGGUGGUAGCGGUGAAAUGCGCAGAUAUCAGGAGGAACACCGAUGGCGAACGGCAGCCCCCUGGGCUAACACUCGACGCUCAUGCACGAAAGCGUGGGGGAGCAAACAGG